UACGUAGGAGACGAGCGUUGUCCGGAGUUACUGGGUUUAAAGGGUGUGUAGGCGGGCUUUUAAGUCAGUGGUGAAAUCUCCGGGCUCAACCCGGAAACUGCCAUUGAUACUAUUAGUCUUGAAUUUUGUUGAGGUAGGCGGAAUAAGUCAUGUAGCGGUGAAAUGCAUAGAUAUGACUUAGAACACCAAUUGCGAAGGCAGCUUGCUAAACAAACAUUGACGCUGAGGCACGAAAGCGUGGGGAUCAAACAGG
rnacentral:rRNA from 1 species